UACAGAGGGUGCAAGCGUUGCUCGGAAUCAUUGGGCGUAAAGGGUAGGUAGGUGGUCUCGUUUGUCUGGGGUGAAAGCCCAGGGCUUAACCCUGGAAGUGCCCCGGAAACGGCGAGACUAGAGUCUUGGAGAGGGUCGUGGAAUUCCUGGUGUAGCGGUGAAAUGCGCAGAUAUCAGGAAGAACACCAAUGGCGAAGGCAGCUCUCUGGGACGGUACUGACGCUGAGACGCGAAAGCGUGGGGAGCGAACAGG
rnacentral:rRNA from 1 species